AAACCAAGUAUACCAUGUGUUAGCUGAAAAAGAAUGCGUAAGCACGCAAAUGUCAGCUCUUCUACCCAGGACAACUAAAUUAUGAAUUUUGUGAAGAAAAGCAGACAUAAAGAUAGUUUGGCAUAUUAUCUUCAAAGUUUUGACAAAUAUAACCUCAAGCACUGUUCUUCAAAUUAACAUGCUCACAAACUAACAUGUCUUAUUAUGGUUAUAACAGGAGUCCAAAUCUUAACUAAGUCAAAGGUACCAAAUUUUACUUCUCUUGUUAAUUCCGCUAAGCAUGGGAUAAUCAAAUAAUGGCUUUAAUGUAAAGUAAUGGCCAGUACUUUAACAGGCUAUAGCCUUCCUGUUGUAUAACAGGUGUAGUGAAAAAUGGCCAUUACUUAACAAUGUCAGAAACCAACAAUCCGAGACAAAAGAUUAUGUAUGUUCCUUUGCAAGGUUUUUGUAAUUCUCUCCUUUACUUUAUGCUAAAAGGACUCAAAUAUCAUAGAAAUUUAAAGAUCACUGUUGAAAAUAUUCUGAGAAAGAUAAAAACUAGCUCACAAGACUACAUAAGGGUUCCACCCCAACUCCCUUGCAGUGGCAAAAUGCAAGUUAAACUUGCUAACUUUUUAGUCUUUCUUUUCUCUAUCUUAUUCUUCUUCUUCCCCCUUUUUCCUUUCAAAAUUCUGAUACUCUUUUUGAUGGAGUCAUGAUAAGGCCAGCAACUAUGUAUUACUUUCAAUUUGAUUUAUAAUUAAGGAAUACAAUUUAAUACCAUCAUUUUUCAUUUAGCCAUCCUUUACUUUGUGUUUUACUGAAGUUUAAUUAUAUGUAAGCAUUUUAUUCAUUUUUUUUUUUAAAUUAUUGUGCUGUGAUGGCCACAACCACACCUGUAAAAUUUCAAAAUGUAAAGCUUGUGAAAACCCACCUCUGUGAAACACGGCCAUGACUGCAAUCUAAAACUAUGGCCCUAAAGUAGGAAGACUUUAUCCAAAUUGAAAGCUGCAAAUAUUUAGCCAAGUUCUAGGGGACAUACCACAACCUUCAAUGUUAAAUCUAAAUCAUCACACAUAAGAACCAAUCAGUGAACCCUCAAGAUCCCAUAACAAGUUGGAUUGGACAUUAAGAUCCAAGAACAGGAAAUGAUAAUUAGUGAAGUUGAAACUGUUGAUAUUCUGCUCACCAGAUAUGUUAAAGCUUUUAAUGGACCGGACAACACAAAUAAAAGCAUAGCUGUUGUCACCUGCCAGAUUGUAACAUCAGUCCAACAAUAAUACAACACUUAGAUGAAUCAAGAAGUUUUAGACUUUAAUAAUGCAAGUCAUGGAUGGCUACAAAACACUGUUUUCCUCCUAGCUGCGACACCCCAUCUCAUUGAAGAGAUUACCAUUGGCAAUGAGAAGAAACAUCCAAAGUAAUUCUGUACAAAACCAAAUUCUACAGAGACACAGGUGGGGCAAAAUAUAAAAUACAGCAAAAAGAACUUAACAAAUAGAUUCUUAACCCAAAUAUAAAAGCUUUAUUUCCUUAUCAUUACUUUGUAGCAAUGGACUAAAGCAUAAAAGAAUCAACAAUCAAUCAAAUACAGAAAUAAUAAUCCAGAAAUUUCAGAACUUUGAGAUUAAAUUGAGGAUAAACUACACGAGUCAACAACCAAAUCAAGCAACCAAGUUAAAUAAAAGCAGUAACCAAUAAGACUAAGUAUGUUUAGUAUGUUAACAAGAAGAAAAAGAAACCACUAUAAGAUUUAAAUCAUUUCACAGGAACAAAAUAAUUAAGCCAAAUAUAAAAUUUUAUCAAGCUUCAGGCACCAGAAUUACAAAUACAUAUCAACUGAGAAAAACUUAAGAAUUAUAUAAAAAAAGGAGGUAAAAAUUGAUGCUAAUAGCAAAUAAGAUUUAAUGCAUACCUUGCUGAAUUGCAAAAGGAGUAACACAACUAGACCAAGUAAUACUAGUGUAAGACUUCUUGAAUCAGAAAAUCUAAUUCUCAUUCAGGAAGAAAUAAUUGUUUGGCAGAGUUGUAAUUUUCCAACUGAUACAUUUUUCCCUGGAAUGGAAUUAGGAUGGUUUGACACGGAUACAAAUCACACAAGGAAAGAGUUCUCUUGUAUCAUGGUUAAGCCCAUCUUUGCCAAGUAGUGGUUCAUUUGCUUUUGGCAUGGAUCCUGUAAAUAAGUCACAGAUCAAUCUGUGGCAACCAAGUGAUAAACGAGACAUUGGGUUUUGGGAUGGCCAAUGUUUCAGGUUUAUAUUCCAAAGUUCUUCAGAUAGGUACAAUUUCAGCUUUAUAUCAAAUAACAAGGACAUUUACCUCACUUAUGAUAACAAUGAAAGUAUUACACCUUCAUGGUUUGUAUUGGCUUCAUCUGGGGAUAUCAACGAGUAAGAAAGGAUAGAAAUUGUAUCCUGGACUUCCCACAUCUCACAAGUCAACUAUAUCCCUUCCCCAGGCAGUUUAGACAGCGCUGAACCCUGUUACCAUCACAAGUAGGGCAAAGGCAAGGGUUCACAGCAAUGGGAUCAUAUAAAGGCGACCACUUUAUAGUAGCAUUGCCUUUGCACAAUUUGCAUAUAUAAUACCCUUUUCCUCUGCAUACUCCACAAGGCAAUGCAUCCUUUCUCAGUUUGAGCUCAGUUGCAUAGCGAAAGCCUCCGAUAGCUAUAGAUGAAGUGAUAUUGAGAGCGGCCACACUACCCAAGAAAAUAGCAGCUCCAGUAGCCAGCGUGCGCAGCGGUUUUGGAAUCAUUUUUCGGGGUUGAGGUCCUCACAGGAUUUUCUUCGAACAGUAUGAGUGAAUGAAACAAAGAGCUCAACCUUCUAUACAAAUCUUGUGGCCUGCCUACCCACUAGUCAACGACUGCAGAGACUUUUAUAGUUUCCUUGUACGGGUAAAACACACUGUUUUCAGGUCAUAUGCGAUUGUUGGCCACCGGUGCGUACUGGCAAGAAUACAACGGUCCCUGUUCCAAUUCUUGUCUCUCGAGAGUUGAGAAUGAUUACAGUCUACGAGAUUUUUACACAGUCAAAGCAACCUGAAAUGAAAAUUGAUUAUUUAAUGAACUAUAAUAUAGAGUUUGAUUGAGUUUGAUUGGUAGAUGAUCGGGGGAAGGUUCACCGAGGCUUCAUUGUCAUCCCUGGAGAAAAAAGCAUUUAAUGUGACUUGGUGUUAGAACACAAGGAGAGGAAAGGGAGAAAUUAACUACGAAGCUAAUUAGCGUUGCAGUCUUUUCCAGGUACGUAGCUUCAUCCAUUGCGCUAGAAAUACCAGUGAACGGAUUACGUAGCAACAGUUCCCUUUCCUGCUGAACUUGGGCUAAGACUUUAAGCCCAAAUCUGGGCAAGCUCCAACCUAAAGCGAUACCCCAUACCUAAAAUUUGGAUUAAGUCUGGCUAAACCCACAUCCUAA
rnacentral:misc_RNA from 1 species